UCCUUUUCUUAGCUAACAAGAUCUUCUACCUUCUGCAGUACCUGGAGAGGGAGGCUGGGUCCCUGCGGGGGGACACAUGCCCCCAUCCCGGAAUGCUGCGUUCUGGGGUUGAAGGCUUUCUUCAGGGUCCAACAGAUGUGGGCUGAACAAGCUGCAGGGCUGUCUGGAAGGAAGACACUUUUCCCGGGAAGCCCGCGGCUGGUAGACUCAUGGCGUCUGGUAGACUCAUGGCGUCUGGUAUUGGGACAUUCUGAUGGGCAGGGCCAGGGGACAGCUGAACUUAUUACAGAUCAGUUCUACACCUUCUUGGUUGCCGAGUGGUUGGUGCUCCGAUGGCAGUGGAGUUGAGAUGCUGCCUUCCCUUUGGCUGAUUCUUCACACACCUGUGAGCACAUACCUGUGAGCACAGGUGGGCAUUGGUUAAUCUGCGUUCAGCCAGGAUGAGAAGGAAUGUUUUCGUUUUUUAGGUCUUCCUGAUUUUCUUUACUUACUUUUGAAAUAUUUUGGGGGUGUCUCUUUUCCUUCUUGUGAGAUAGCCCCCUUUCAAAAGUCGAGUGGGAGUGGGCAGGGACCCGGCACACGGUAGCAGAGCAGGGGCGGCUAGUCUGUGCUGCAGCUUCUCCCCUUAAACGAGGCAAGAAUGUCCACUGGCUCUUUUCUUUCUUCUGGUUCUUUUCCAGAUGGGAACCUGCCUGGUGUGUCAUUCAGCGGAAGCGAUCAGAGCCGUAGUUAACGUUUGUUUGAUUUUUAACUAGGCCCCGGAUGCAGGGAAAUCAUUACCAGAAAACUCACAGGCCUCCUUUUGGAAGGGGCCCUGGGUUCUGGUUGGUGGGGCAGGGAUGGCGGGAAGGGACAGGGCACAGAGCAAGUGGUCGAUCCUGCACUGGGACAGGCAAAGGCUCUUGUCCUGCAUCUGCAGUGGAAAAGCUGGGGGUCCUGGGCGGGUCACAUCUCUAUCUGGAGAUUGGGGUCUUCAUUUGCAGAAUGAGGAUUCAUUCAAUUCCCCCAAACUCCCCUGGAGCUGGAAGCACAAAGUUAAAAUGUGUCAUUGAAAUCUACAAAAGGAUGCAAGGGGCGGAUGAAGUGAAUGCCUCCACCUUCCAGACUUCUUCUGCUGGCCCCGCACUCACCCCAGCUUUGAUAGCACUCUGAGCUCUGAGAUGGAGCCGAGCUUCACAACCCCAAGCUUCCUUCACCCCAGGGGACCCACCUCCUUUCCCCUGGGAGCCCUUGGUGGUGGCAGUGGGACCCCAGCCCCAGCCGUGCCAGGGAUCACAGAAGGGAGUUUGACUAUAUCGGUUCUCUGAAAAUUAC